ACUUACACAGUAGAUAUGCCAAGUGGCAUAAGUGAGCAACUUGAACUUUCAAGCCCAGACGUCAAAGGGCUAAGGCACGAAUCUGGAGAUGGAUCUUCUCAUAUCAGAAUCUCACAUGGCAGCCCUUCAGGACCGCAAGUGGACACAGAAGACCUUGAUGAGAAUCUCAAAGGAUCAAAAAUAGAACCUCCAUCAUUGUCGGGAACUAAACUGAAAGAUUUGGAUAUGAGUGUGAAAGGUCCCAAAAUGAAGGGAAAUGUUGAUGUUCCAAACCUUGAGAGGGAU